rnacentral:SRP_RNA from 1 species
GAGAGAUUGAAUCAGGUGUUCACAUUACGAACCCGGUCAGGUCUGAAAGGAAGCAGCCGUAGUAAUCUCUGAAUGGGUUGAAUUUCAAUCUCUCGCA